CCCUUAGAUGUUCUGGGCCGCACGCGUGCUACACUGAGUAAAUCAAUGGGUAAGGGAACACGAAAGUGCAACCUAAUCUUGAAAUUUGCUCGUGAUGGGGAUCGACGGUUGCAAUUUUCCGUCGUGAACGAGGAAUACCUUGUAGGCGCGUGUCAUCAUCACGCGCCGAAUACGUCCCUGCCCUUUGUACACACCGCCCGUCGCUCCUACCGAUUGGGUGAGCCGAUGAAACUCUCGGAUGUAGGCUAUUCAUAGCCCGCAGAAGAGAUUUGAAUCGUAGCGCUUAGAGGAAGGAGAAGUCGUAACA
rnacentral:rRNA from 1 species